AUUGAACGCUGGCGGCAUGCCUUACACAUGCAAGUCGAACGGUAACAGGUCUUCGGAUGCUGACGAGUGGCGAACGGGUGAGUAAUACAUCGGAACGUGCCCAGACGUGGGGGAUAACGAGGCGAAAGCUUUGCUAAUACCGCAUACGAUCUAAGGAUGAAAGCAGGGGACCGCAAGGCCUUGUGCGUUUGGAGCGGCCGAUGGCAGAUUAGGUAGUUGGUGGGAUAAAAGCUUACCAAGCCGACGAUCUGUAGCUGGUCUGAGAGGACGACCAGCCACACUGGGACUGAGACACGGCCCAGACUCCUACGGGAGGCAGCAGUGGGGAAUUUUGGACAAUGGGCGAAAGUCUGAUCCAGCAAUGCCGCGUGCAGGAUGAAGGCCUUCGGGUUGUAAACUGCUUUUGUACGGAACGAAAAGGCUCUGGCUAAUACCUGGGGCACAUGACGGUACCGUAAGAAUAAGCACCGGCUAACUACGUG
rnacentral:rRNA from 1 species